AGGUGCGAUCAUACCAGCACUAAUGCACUAGAUCCCAUCAGAACUCCGAAGUUAAGCGCGUUUGGGCGGGAAUAGUACUAACAUGGGCUUUGUCACAGGACUUUCACAGACACAGGUA
rnacentral:rRNA from 1 species